GCGCGAAAACUUUACAAUGCCGGCAACGGCGAUAAGGGAACCUCGAGUGCCAGGUUACAAAUCUGGCUGUCGUGAUGCCUAAAAAGCAUUGCAUAGCAAGGGCCGGGCAAGACCGGUGCCAGCCGCCGCGGUAACACCGGCGGCUCGAGUGGUAACCGUUAUUAUUGGGUCUAAAGGGUCUGUAGCCGGCCGGGUAAGUCUCUUGGGAAAUCUGGCAGCUUAACUGUCAGGCUUUCAGGAGAUACUGCCUGGCUCGAGGCCGGGAGAGGUGAGAGGUACUUCAGGGGUAGGGGUGAAAUCUUGUAAUCCUUGAAGGACCACCAGUGGCGAAGGCGUCUCACCAGAACGGACCUGACGGCAAGGGACGAAAGCUAGGGGCACGAACCGGAUUAGAUACCCGGGUAGUCCUAGCCGUAAACGAUACUCGCUAGGUGUCGGCCACGGUGCGACCGUGGUCGGUGCCGUAGGGAAGCCGUGAAGCGAGCCACCUGGGAAGUACGGCCGCAAGGCUGAAACUUAAAGGAAUUGGCGGGGGAGCAC
rnacentral:rRNA from 1 species